rnacentral:rRNA from 1 species
AACGAACGCUGGCGGCAUGCCUAACACAUGCAAGUCGAACGAGACCUUCGGGUCUAGUGGCGCACGGGUGCGUAACGCGUGGGAACCUGCCCUUAGGUUCGGAAUAACUCCCCGAAAGGGGUGCUAAUACCGGAUAAUGUCUUCGGACCAAAGAUUUAUCGCCUUUGGAUGGGCCCGCGUUGGAUUAGCUAGUUGGUAGGGUAAAAGCCUACCAAGGCGACGAUCCAUAGCUGGUCUGAGAGGAUGAUCAGCCACACUGGGACUGAGACACGGCCCAGACUCCGACGGGAGGUAGCAGUAGGGAAUAUUGGAGAAUGGGCGAAAGCCUGAUACAGCAAUGCCGCGUGAGUGAUGAAGGCCUUAGGGUUGUAAAGCUCUUUUACCCGGGAUGAUAAUGACAGUACCGGGAGAAUAAGCUCCGGCUAACUCCGUG